rnacentral:rRNA from 1 species
GAUGAACGCUAGCUACAGGCUUAACACAUGCAAGUCGAGGGGCAGCAUUUCAGUUUGCUUGCAAACUGGAGAUGGCGACCGGCGCACGGGUGAGUAACACGUAUCCAACCUGCCGAUAACUCGGGGAUAGCCUUUCGAAAGAAAGAUUAAUACCCGAUGGUAUAAUCAGACCGCAUGGUCUUGUUAUUAAAGAAUUUCGGUUAUCGAUGGGGAUGCGUUCCAUUAGGCAGUUGGUGAGGUAACGGCUCACCAAACCUUCGAUGGAUAGGGGUUCUGAGAGGAAGGUCCCCCACAUUGGAACUGAGACACGGUCCAAACUCCUACGGGAGGCAGCAGUGAGGAAUAUUGGUCAAUGGGCGCAGGCCUGAACCAGCCAAGUAGCGUGAAGGAUGACUGCCCUAUGGGUUGUAAACUUCUUUUAUAUGGGAAUAAAGUUUUCCACGUGUGGAAUUUUGUAUGUACCAUAUGAAUAAGGAUCGGCUAACUCCGUGCCAGCAGCCGCGGUAAUACGGAGGAUCCGAGCGUUAUCCGGAUUUAUUGGGUUUAAAGGGAGCGUAGGUGGACAGUUAAGUCAGUUGUGAAAGUUUGCGGCUCAACCGUAAAAUUGCAGUUGAUACUGGCUGUCUUGAGUACAGUAGAGGUGGGCGGAAUUCGUGGUGUAGCGGUGAAAUGCUUAGAUAUCACGAAGAACUCCGAUUGCGAAGGCAGCUCACUGGACUGCAACUGACACUGAUGCUCGAAAGUGUGGGUAUCAAACAGGAUUAGAUACCCUGGUAGUCCACACAGUAAACGAUGAAUACUCGCUGUUUGCGAUAUACAGUAAGCGGCCAAGCGAAAGCAUUAAGUAUUCCACCUGGGGAGUACGCCGGCAACGGUGAAACUCAAAGGAAUUGACGGGGGCCCGCACAAGCGGAGGAACAUGUGGUUUAAUUCGAUGAUACGCGAGGAACCUUACCCGGGCUUAAAUUGCAUUUGAAUAUAUUGGAAACAGUAUAGCCGUAAGGCAAAUGUGAAGGUGCUGCAUGGUUGUCGUCAGCUCGUGCCGUGAGGUGUCGGCUUAAGUGCCAUAACGAGCGCAACCCUUAUCUUUAGUUACUAACAGGUCAUGCUGAGGACUCUAGAGAGACUGCCGUCGUAAGAUGUGAGGAAGGUGGGGAUGACGUCAAAUCAGCACGGCCCUUACGUCCGGGGCUACACACGUGUUACAAUGGGGGGUACAGAAGGCAGCUACCUGGUGACAGGAUGCUAAUCCCAAAAGCCUCUCUCAGUUCGGAUCGAAGUCUGCAACCCGACUUCGUGAAGCUGGAUUCGCUAGUAAUCGCGCAUUCAGCCAUGGCGCGGUGAAUACGUUCCCGGGCCCU